rnacentral:tRNA from 1 species
GCCCAGGUGGUGAAAUCGGUAAACACAAGGGAUUUAAAAUCCCUCGGCCUUAAGGCUGUGCGGGUUCAAGUCCCGCCCUGGGCAC